AGCGGUGGAAUGCGUAGAUAUAUGGAAGAACACCAGUGGCGAAGGCGGCUCCUGGUCUGCAACUGACGCUGAGACUCGAAAGCAUGGGUAGCGAACAGGAUUAGAUACCCUGGUAGUCCAUGCCGUAAACGAUGAGUGCUAGGUGUUGGAGGGUUUCCGCCCUUCAGUGCCGGAGCUAACGCAUUAAGCACUCCGCCUGGGGAGUACGACCGCAAGGUUGAAACUCAAAGGAAUUGACGGGGGCCCGCACAAGCGGUGGAGCAUGUGGUUUAAUUCGAAGCUACGCGAAGAACCUUACCAGGUCUUGACAUCUUGCGCCAACCCUAGAGAUAGGGCGUUUCCUUCGGGAACGCAAUGACAGGUGGUGCAUGGUCGUCGUCAGCUCGUGUCGUGAGAUGUUGGGUUAAGUCCCGCAACGAGCGCAACCCUUGUUACUAGUUGCCAGCAUUAAGUUGGGCACUCUAGUGAGACUGCCGGUGACAAACCGGAGGAAGGUGGGGACGACGUCAGAUCAUCAUGCCCCUUAUGACCUGGGCUACACACGUGCUACAAUGGACGGUACAACGAGUCGCGAACUCGCGAGGGCAAGCAAAUCUCUUAAAACCGUUCUCAGUUCGGACUGCAGGCUGCAACUCGCCUGCACGA
rnacentral:rRNA from 1 species